rnacentral:rRNA from 1 species
CAGUAGCCGCGGUAAUACGUAGGUGGCAAGCGUUGUCCGGAAUUAUUGGGCGUAAAGCGCGCGCAGGCGGAUAGGUCAGUCUGUCUUAAAAGUUCGGGGCUUAACCCCGUGAUGGGAUGGAAACUGCCAAUCUAGAGUAUCGGAGAGGAAAGUGGAAUUCCUAGUGUAGCGGUGAAAUGCGUAGAUAUUAGGUAGAACACCAGUGGCGAAGGCGACUUUCUGGACGAAAACUGACGCUGAGGCGCGAAAGCCAGGGGAGCGAACGGGAUUAGAUACCCCAGUAGUCCCUGUCUCUUAUACC